CUUCAGUGGUUCAAUCACACUGAAUUCAGAAAAAAGAGGAAAAAAAAAAUUAAAAAAGCUGCCUUUUUUUCUUCUUUUAUCUUCUUCUUCAUCUUCCUUUCCAUUCUCAUCUCCCACAUUCAACUGAAAAACAGAUAUAUAGAGAGAAAAAGGAAAACAAAAAACUGAAAAAGAAACCAACAAAACAGGAAAAAGACUUAAUCUUUUCUCUGUAUUUCAUAUUCUUUAACCGUAUAUUCUCAUAAACUCUGGUUGAUCUUUAAUGGAUCUGUAGAUCUAACGUUUAUUGGCUACGUUUAAUUGUAUUUUCACACUGUGUGAUUCAGUAAUAUUAUACCAUAUAAGGCCUAAUCACAACUAACAAAGGGAGUAGUGGUGGAAGUUUUUAGUUUUGGAGAGCAGUUGCAUCCAUUUGGAUGUUGAGGAAUUGGCGGUAAGCAAAGGUGAAAUGAGGGAUGUUAUCAAGGUUGAUAAAUUUCUUGAAGGCAUGUUGCCGGUCAUCGGCGGAUCGUUAUGUACAUAGUGCUACAGAUUCAGCUGGACGGCAAGAUGGACUUUUUUGGUAUAAGGACAGUGGACAACACUUACUUGGUGAGUUCUCUAUGGCAGUUGUUCAGGCCAACAAUUUGCUGGAGGAUCAGAGCCAGAUUGAGUCAGGUUCUUUGAGCUUGCUUGAUUCUGGCCCAUAUGGAACGUUUGUUGGGGUAUAUGAUGGUCAUGGUGGGCCUGAAACAUCACGGUAUAUCAAUGAUCACCUCUUUCAGAAUCUCAAGAGGUCUGCAGCUGAACAAAAUUCCAUGUCUGUUGAUGUAAUACGAAAAGCGUUUCAAGCAACAGAGGAGGGAUUCAUUUCUCUAGUUGCUCAGCAGUGGCUAACGAAACCUCAGAUGGCUUCUGUUGGAGCAUGCUGUCUGGUUGGGGUGAUCUGUGAUGGGACCCUUUAUGUUGCCAACCUUGGUGAUUCCCGGGCUGUUUUGGGGAGACUUGUCAGGGCUACAGGAGAGGUUCUAGCCCUUCAGCUUUCAGCUGAGCAUAAUGCAAGUAUUGAGUCUGUCAGACAGGAAUUGCAUUCUAUGCAUCCGGAUGACCCACAGAUAGUCGUUCUGAAGCAUAAUGUAUGGCGUGUAAAGGGUCUGAUACAGAUUUCGAGAUCUAUUGGCGAUUUAUAUCUCAAAAAUGCUGAGUACAAUAAAGAGCCAUUGUAUGCAAAAUUUCGUUUGCGAGAACCUUUUACGAGGCCCAUAUUGAGUGCGGAUCCAGCGAUUUCAGUGCAUGAACUCCAGCCACAUGAUCAAUUUCUCAUCCUUGCUUCCGACGGUCUUUGGGAACAUCUUAGCAAUCAAGAGGCAGUUGAUAUUGUCCAAAAUAGCUCUCACAAAGGAAGUGCUCGGCGGCUUGUAAAAGCUGCACUGCAAGAAGCGGCAAAGAAAAGGGAGAUGAGAUAUUCUGAUUUAAAGAAGAUUGAUCGUGGUGUGAGGAGACAUUUUCAUGAUGAUAUCUCAGUCAUAGUCGUGUUUCUUGAUUCAAAUCUUGUGAGUAGAGCCAGCUCACUUAGAGGGCCCUCUGUAUCUCUGAAAGGAGGUGGUAUGAACUUCCCAGCAAAAAGUCUGGCUCCCACUCCCGCAUAACUUGGUACUGCUUGACCUUUCCACAGUGUUGUAUACUUUGCUGUAUCCUUUCUGAAACUUGUUAUGACAAGAUCCUUUAGUAGAUUAAAGAGAAAUAACAGAAAGUGCGGCACUAAUUUAUUCUUUUGUUGUGCAAUGUGAUGUUUUUGAUGUUCAAUGUAACGUUUAACUUGGAACAGACGUCUUUAUUAACUUUAUAAGUAGGCAAGAAGAUCAAAUUUUCUUUCUUGAGGAUGAAACUUCUCUGCUUAUAUUCUAUCAAUUUUACUUGCUCACUUUUCUGUGGUA
rnacentral:misc_RNA from 1 species